CAGUUCACCAUUCGAGGAUCAUACAUAGUAAAGAUAAAUUCUGUGUUUCAGCGAGCAAAAUUCUAGAAAGAUAUCUUAGAAGAAAAACAACUUGAAGAAACAAUGGGAAGAGAUACAGAUAGAUUAAGAAUAAUUAGUAUGAAUGCUUCUGGUAGGAAAGGCAAACAGUAUCAAAACUAUCGACAGUCUUACCUGAACGAAAUAAUCGCACACGAUGAGCCCGAUAUUUUAUUUUUGCCAAGGGACAACCCUGAUAUGUCAUCAUCAGUGUUAACUGAUUAUCGUCAAGCACAAGUCGCUCAUAAUCACGAACUUGUACUUUUGUACGAUAAGAAGAGAUUGUAAUUGAAAACCCCAAACUGGUUCGAUCUAAUACACCUUAGUUGUUCCUGGUAUACAGCAGGGCAAACUAAUGUAUCCCUUAGUCGAUAUCCUGGCUCCUAAACCGACUCAACAUAUCGUCAAGCAGUUCCAUUGUAUCAUUUUCAAUUGGGAGCUUUCUCAAACAACAUCACAGGAACGCUCUCAGUUUGCGUAUCGUUACCUAUGGUUGACUCAAUAUCUUGGGUGAAUUUCUGGAGUGGAAAUCCUGAUAGGAGGUGAUUUUAAUUUACCAAUUCAACAAAUACAAAACCGCCUAAAUGAACAUAAUACACUUGUCCGAAAGGAAUUGGAAGAUAUCAAACCAUUUUUCAGGAAAAUGGGAUACAUGGAUGAAAUGACGGAUAAUAAUCAUAGAUCAGAAUGUCGGCUACGACAACUUAAACUCCACAAGUGUAGGUCUGCAUCAAGAUGUAACCAGGAAACCGACUACUUUGUUGCAUCAGAGGAAAUGCAAUUAUGUAAUACUGAAAUGAUGACGGCUUCAACCCUUCCAGGAAGAUGUACAACUCUGACGGUAACCAGGCCAGCUGUACAGAAUUACUGUCCUUUGCCAACGAGGACAGAAAAGUGUAUUCCAGCAAGGCCACCAAGACACAACGGUGGUUAAAAAUAAUUCUACAUAGCUUUUGGUAUUUUUUGUAUCCAAGUUAUAUCGUUAUAUGGCGUGAAUAUUUUUUAAUGGGUUUCUUAACAUAAUAUAUUCAAAAAAUUGGGGGAC